UUGAAAUGAUGUGAUUUAGAGCUCUUAUUCUUCUUUUCUUUUUUUUUUAGGGAACUAUGCUUUUAAAUCCGCAGCUGAGAAUACACCCAACGAUUUUCCGUUUAAGUCCGACACCUCGUACGAACUGGUACCGACUUUCCGGAGGAUGACGCAUGGUGUGUAUUGAGGUCCCAGCUUCGCGUUGAAUUGGAUUCCAGCAGACGACUGACGAAAACUCCGUUUAUACACACGCUGACCCACAUCAAACGUUGGAAUGGAGGUCACGUUCGCAGCCAACAUCGCCGUUCUGCAAUCUGCUCUGGUGUUCCGGAAAAGCACAUCGAACUUUCUGGCAUCAUCCCAUUGUCUCGACAUACUCCGGAAAAUUCGUACCAUAUCCAGAUAAUAGUCCUGGAAUUUCUCCCUAGGACCUUGCUUUCGCGCAUUCGCCAGACGUUCAUACUGGUAAUCAAUGUCUACAGCUUUCAACAAAUUCCGCAAGGCUCUCUCCUGUUUACUACGCGAUUCAUCAUCCAUGUUCACACCACGAAUCCGCAAUUCAUGAUGGAGUUCGUCAUCAGCCAGAUGAGCAGUAUUGAGCGCGUGGUACUGCGUCUCAAAGUGAAUUAAUUCCAUUAUGCAAUGUUUGCGUGAAAUUUAAGCAAAAUUAUAAAAAGAAAAAUUAAAAAGAACUACCUAUAUUACGCUUAGCGGUCUUUCACGCU